GACGAACGCUGGCGGCGUGCCUAAUACAUGCAAGUAGAACGCUGAAGGAGGAGCUUGCUCUUCUGGAUGAGUUGCGAACGGGUGAGUAACGCGUAGGUAACCUGCCUGGUAGCGGGGGAUAACUAUUGGAAACGAUAGCUAAUACCGCAUAACAGUAGAUGUUGCAUGACAUUUACUUAAAAGGUGCAAUUGCAUCACUACCAGAUGGACCUGCGUUGUAUUAGCGAGUUGGUGGGGUAACGGCUCACCAAGGCGACGAUACAUAGCCGACCUGAGAAGGUGAUCGGCCACACUGGGACUGAGACACGGCCCAGACUCCUACGGGAGGCAGCAGUAGGGAAUCUUCGGCAAUGGACGGAAGUCUGACCGAGCAACGCCGCGUGAGUGAAGAAGGUUUUCGGAUCGUAAAGCUCUGUUGUAAGAGAAGAACGAGUGUGAGAGUGGAAAGUUCACACUGUGACGGUAUCUUACCAGAAAGGGACGGCUAACUACGUG
rnacentral:rRNA from 1 species